GACGUAGGGCGCGAGCGUUGUCCGGAUUUAUUGGGCGUAAAGAGCUCGUAGGCGGCUUGUCGCGUCGUCCGUGAAAACCUGCAGCUCAACUGCAGGCUUGCGGUCGAUACGGGCAGGCUCGAGUUCGGUAGGGGAGACUGGAAUUCCUGGUGUAGCGGUGAAAUGCGCAGAUAUCAGGAGGAACACCAAUAGCGAAGGCAGCUCGCUGGGACGGUACUGACGCUAAGGCGCGAAAGCGUGGGGAGCGAACAGG
rnacentral:rRNA from 1 species